rnacentral:rRNA from 1 species
UACGAAGGGGGCUAGCGUUGCUCGGAAUGACUGGGCGUAAAGGGCGCGUAGGCGGCCUGGUUAGUUAGAUGUGAAAUUCCUGGGCUUAACCUGGGGACUGCAUUUAAUACAGCCAAGCUUGAGUGUGGAAGAGGGUCGUGGAAUUCCCAGUGUAGAGGUGAAAUUCGUAGAUAUUGGGAGGAACACCAGUGGCGAAGGCGGCUCACUGGACCGGAACUGACGCUGAGGCGCGAAAUCGUGGGGAGCAAACAGG